AGCUUUGCACAGUGGUAGUAUCGUAACCAAUGAGGUUUAUCCGAGGCGCGAUUAUUGCUAAUUGAAAAGCCUUCAUACCAAUGUUCUAUAUUUCCACCGUAGGGGUUACAUGUGAGAAUGAAUUUAUCCAAAUUUGUUGAAUUAUACACCCAAA
ensembl:snRNA U4 U4 spliceosomal RNA